ACCCAAAAGGAGGGAGCUAGUUACUGACCCGUUAAUGCCCAGAAGCUUUAUUUUAACUGCAUGGUAUGACUCAUCCUGAUGAAUUGCAUGUUUUCUAAGCUGUUCUUACAGUGAUACUCCACGCCCUGAAAGGCAAGUUUAGGCUUUGCACAUUUACAUUUUACUGUCUGUUACUUGUUGAAGAGCGUCUCUUCUCCUAACGUAAAACUUCAUCACCAAGAGUGCUUUUCUAAGAUGGCUACUAUAGCUUCUCAAGGUUCCGGUAAGACUUCAGAAGUGUGUGUCGCGAUGCAACUCAUGGCAAAUACUUUUAAGAAAUAUACUGGUCCUACUAAAAACUAUUUGACACCUAAAGAGUUUGAAACAUUUAUGAACACUGAAUUUAAUAACUUCAUGAAGGUUCAACCUCCAGGUACCCUACAAAACAUGCUGAAGGAUAUGGAUUCAAACAUGGACAAUAAGGUGGAGUUUGGUGAAAUGUUCAAUUUGAUUAUGGGCAUGUUAGAUGCCUGUUACGUACUGUUUCUUAAGAAUAUACCCAAGCAACCUUGCUGAAUGGCUAAAUGAUGUCGGGCACUGAGCAGAUAUGGAUAAAAAUACACCAUAUGUUACAUCUGCUGAGAAAGUGCAUCAUCUUAAAAUGAUGCCAAUAUUUGUGUAUUUUUUUUAAUCUGAACAAUAAAAAUAAAUUGUAUAAAUUAA